CUCCGUGCUUUGUAGUAUGCAGUCGCACACAACACAUACAUAUACAAUCAGACGCGAUAACUACGAAGCAGAACAUAAAGAGGAAACCGAGAAUAAGAAAACCUGUAUAGCUAUAUUCUGUCUCAUUCUCUCGCAGGCUCAAUCCUAUAUGUUUGUCUCUUUUUCUUUUCUUAUUUAGUAUCGUAGCCGUUUCAUCGCCGCGUCCCCAAUCGCCGCUUGCUGCUCCGCUACAUCACCGCGUCCCCAGUCGCUGCGUUUCAUUUUUUUCAAAUCACCCCCAUUCUAAAGAAGUUUUCACUUCAAAAAUGAUAUUUUACUAAGCUCGCAGAAUUCACGCUUGAUGGUAACCAAUAUUUAUCCAGUUCGUGGAAUCGUAAUCAAAAGCACGCUCUUCUCCAAAGUUAGUAGUUUACCGAAUGGAAGUGGGUAGUGAAGAAAGCAUUUUGCGCGAGUGGGAGGACUCUGGAUCACGCUUCCGAAUUGGGACCGGCGGGAAAAAUUGUGUUUUUCCCUGCCGGCAGUCUACCACAUACGUCUUAAGAGUUCACAAUUAAAAAUUGUUUUCAAUCUUUACUUUGCUAUUUGUAAUCUACUUAAUCUAUUAAUUACUUAAUCUAUUCAUAAGAUUCGGUUUAGUCUUCGCAUUUAAGCUAAUUUUAUUAACUGAGUUACAUUAGCGUUUUAUCUUACUUUACUAUUUGUAACUUCUGUGCAAUUUAACCCUCAUUUAAGAAUAUACUGUUAUUUCACAAAUUUGGAAGUACGUGUACAAGAACAGAAUUAAGUUCUUCAUCAAAGUUAAAUACUGUUAAACUAUCUGCUCGACAGCCAGAUCUCAUCUCCAGGACUCAACGCCAGUGCAACGGAAUUCGAGGAGCUUCCGAAAUCCGUAUAAUCAACGCCAAGGAAAAACCAUCUUUCAAGGAUUCUUCAACACCUUAAGGCAAUAGUAACAUCGGGUACUUCAAAAUAGCAGCUAGUUUGUUAGGCAUAUUGUUUACCUCAUUGAUAAUUUUUUCUGGCUAUACAUUCAACAUUUAUAAUUAUGUAUCUACGUAGAAGCACGUCUUUACUCAAUCAGCAGUAGAAAAGGAAUGAACGAAUAACGAAUAACGAAUAAACCAAAAGAAAAAUAUUUCGUCGCCAAGCACUUAAGAUGCAGCUGCCCCUUGGUAGGGAUAAAGAAAACAAAAUUAAGAAGGACCACUCAUCGAUAGAACAAAACACUCUGUGUCCCACACUAGAUAUCGGAUAUUAUUUAUAUACAUAAAAGUAUCGAUUGCAUUUUGUAGAUAUGGUAAUAUAAACGCAGAAUAAAGAAUACUGCGUAGAUUUCAACACAUAUAUCUAUCUGAUCUAUAUUUGGCAAGCAUUUGAUGGGAAGUUAACCUAAAACGGAUAUUGUUCAUAAUGAGCAAAGAUUUUACUAAUAGCUGGGUUAUUUUAUAGAAUGAUAAAAUGAUUUCGUUUAACCCCUUAAGUUGCACGCUCGAAUUAACUCGAGCGGUGUUGUAUUACGUUGAGACAAAAUUUUUCCUUAAGGGGUUAAUUUGUAAAUUGAGCUUCUUUGGAAUUUUUUUCAUGCUAGAAGAUAAGAAUCUGAAGCUAUUGUAAUUUAAACAAAUCAUAAAAACUUGGUUUUUUCUUUCUCUUUGAUCUAAACUUAUUUGCCUGUAAUAUUUUUUCUAGAUUGAUCGUGAGAAUAGGUAAUCAAAUGUCGAAUGCUUUUAGUAUUCAUAGCGGGUUAAAAUAGAGAGACGCAUUGUCAAUUCUUUUGUUCAAUUUAGUACUGAAGUUCGCUGUCAAAGAACUGCAGAAAAGUAAAGAUAGUCUGCAGUCGAACGGGACAACACAAUUGUUGACAUACGCGGACGAUAUUGCUUUGCUAGGGGACACAAAGAGUCGUUAAUUAAUAACGCGAAAAUAUUAAUAGAUAAUACAAAAGAUCUGGGGCUACAAAUAAGCGUGGAAAAAAACUAAUAUAUGGUCACCGAGAGAUUUUAGAAUGUGCCUUAUACUGGAACUUUGGUCAUCUGAGAUAAAUUUUUUGAACGGAUCAGCAACUUUAGGUAUUUAGGAUCGAUCAUAAACCAGACGAACGAAAUUAACGAAGAACUUAAGAAAAGAAUCAAUUUAGGCAAUGUAUGCUUUUAUUCCUGGCCGAGAAACCUGAAUGGGGAUCCAUUUUUGUCAAACUUGGUCCAGGGGCAGCAUUAUAAACUAUGAUAGCAGUUAAGUAUAUAUAAAAAUGAAUAAAGAAAAUAAAUAUUUUAGGUGUUAUGUCGAACAAUUAAAGCACGAAUUAAAAAAACGUAGUCUCUGUACUAUAGGUAAAAAAAAUAUUCUACAAGAACGGUAUUAUACAUAUAAAUUAUUAUAAUUAACCUUCACUAUAUUACAUGGCAUUUCAA
rnacentral:lncRNA from 1 species